rnacentral:rRNA from 1 species
GACGAACGCUGGCGGCGUGCUUAACACAUGCAAGUCGAACGAAGAGCGAUGGAAGCUUGCUUCUAUCAAUCUUAGUGGCGAACGGGUGAGUAACGCGUAAUCAACCUGCCCUUCAGAGGGGGACAACAGUUGGAAACGACUGCUAAUACCGCAUACGAUCUAAUCUCGGCAUCGAGGAUAGAUGAAAGGUGGCCUCUACAUGUAAGCUAUCACUGAAGGAGGGGAUUGCGUCUGAUUAGCUAGUUGGAGGGGUAACGGCCCACCAAGGCGAUGAUCGGUAGCCGGUCUGAGAGGAUGAACGGCCACAUUGGGACUGAGACACGGCCCAGACUCCUACGGGAGGCAGCAGUGGGGAAUCUUCCGCAAUGGACGAAAGUCUGACGGAGCAACGCCGCGUGAGUGAUGACGGCCUUCGGGUUGUAAAGCUCUGUUAAUCGGGACGAAAGGCCUUCUUGCGAAUAGUGAGAAGGAUUGACGGUACCGGAAUAGAAAGCCACGGCUAACUACGUG